rnacentral:rRNA from 1 species
CAGCCGCCGCGGUAAUACGGAGGGGGCUAGCGUUGUUCGGAAUUACUGGGCGUAAAGCGUACGUAGGCGGCUUUGUAAGUUAGAGGUGAAAGCCUGGUGCUCAACACCAGAACUGCCUUUAAGACUGCAUCGCUUGAACGUCGGAGAGGUGAGUGGAAUUCCGAGUGUAGAGGUGAAAUUCGUAGAUAUUUGGAAGAACACCAGUGGCGAAGGCGACUGACUGGACAAGUAUUGACGCUGAGGUGCGAAAGCGUGGGGAGCAAACAGGAUUAGAUACCCCAGUAGUCCCUGUCUCUUAUAC